rnacentral:rRNA from 1 species
CAAAGCUUUAAGUNUUGUAANAGGGGGUANAAUUCCAGGUGUANCGGUUAAAAUGCGUUAAAGAUCUGAAGNAAUACCGGUGGCGAAGGCGGCCCCCNUGNACAAAGACUUGACGCUCAGGUGCGAAAGCGUGGGGAGCAAACAGAUUAGAUACCCUGGUAGUCCACGCCGUAAACGAUGUCGACUUGGAGGCUGUUCCCUUGAGGAGUGGCUUCCGGAGCUAACGCGUUAAGUCGACCGCCUGGGGAGUACGGCCGCAAGGUUAAAACUCAAAUGAAUUGACGGGGGCCCGCACAAGCGGUGGAGCAUGUGGUUUAAUUCGAUGCAACGCGAAGAACCUUACCUACUCUUGACAUCCAGAGAAUUUAGCAGAGAUGCUUUAGUGCCUUCGGGAACUCUGAGACAGGUGCUGCAUGGCUGUCGUCAGCUCGUGUUGUGAAAUGUUGGGUUAAGUCCCGCAACGAGCGCAACCCUUAUCCUUUGUUGCCAGCACGUAAUGGUGGGAACUCAAAGGAGACUGCCGGUGAUAAACCGGAGGAAGGUGGGGAUGACGUCAAGUCAUCAUGGCCCUUACGAGUAGGGCUACACACGUGCUACAAUGGCGCAUACAAAGAGAAGCGACCUCGCGAGAGCAAGCGGACCUCAUAAAGUGCGUCGUAGUCCGGAUUGGAGUCUGCAACUCGACUCCAUGAAGUCGGAAUCGGCUAGUAAUCGUAAAUCAGAAUGUAAGGUGAAUAAA